rnacentral:rRNA from 1 species
GAUGAACGCUAGCGGGAGGCUUAACACAUGCAAGUCGAGGGGCAGCAUAGGGUAGCAAUACUCUGAUGGCGACCGGCAAACGGGUGAGUAACGCGUAUGCAACCUACCCUGUACAGGGGGAUAACCCGGAGAAAUUCGGACUAAUAUUCCGUAAUAAUAUCCGGAGGCAUCUUUGGAUAUUUAAAGUUCCGACGGUACGGGAUGGGCAUGCGUAACAUUAGCUGGUUGGUAAGGUAACGGCUUACCAAGGCUAUGAUGUUUAGGGGUCCUGAGAGGGUGGUCCCCCACACUGGUACUGAGACACGGACCAGACUCCUACGGGAGGCAGCAGUGAGGAAUAUUGGUCAAUGGGCGCAAGCCUGAACCAGCCAUCCCGCGUGCAGGAAGACGGCCCUAUGGGUUGUAAACUGCUUUUCCAGGGAGAGAAACUUACGCACGUGUUGCGUGACUGACGGUACCCUGGGAAUAAGCAUCGGCUAACUCCGUG